rnacentral:rRNA from 1 species
AAGCGGAGGAAAAGAAACCAACAGGGAUUGCCUCAGUAGCGGCGAGUGAAGCGGCAAAAGCUCAAAUUUGAAAUCUGGCGUCUUUGGCGUCCGAGUUGUAAUUUGAAGAAGGUAUCUUUGGGCCCGGCUCUUGUCUAUGUUCCUUGGAACAGGACGUCACAGAGGGUGAGAAUCCCGUGCGAUGAGAUGACCCGGGUCUGUGUAAAGUUCCUUCGACGAGUCGAGUUGUUUGGGAAUGCAGCUCUAAGUGGGUGGUAAAUUCCAUCUAAAGCUAAAUAUUGGCGAGAGACCGAUAGCGAACAAGUACAGUGAUGGAAAGAUGAAAAGAACUUUGAAAAGAGAGUGAAAAAGUACGUGAAAUUGUUGAAAGGGAAGGGCUUGAGAUCAGACUUGGUAUUUUGCAUGCUGCUCUCUCGGGGGCGGCCGCUGCGGUUUACCGGGCCAGCAUCGGUUUGGAGCGGCAGGAUAAUGGCGGAGGAAUGUGGCACGGCUUCUGCUGUGUGUUAUAGCCUCUGACGAUACUGCCAGCCUAGACCGAGGACUGCGGUUUUUAACCUAGGAUGUUGGCAUAAUGAUCUUAAGUCGCCCGUCUUGAAA